UUGGCUUGGAGCAGCGACCAAUAAAAACGGGCGACCCCGAAAAGCCAGAUGAGUAGGAAAUAA
rfam:Pedobacter sp. PACM 27299, complete genome.